rnacentral:lncRNA from 1 species
GGCUUCUCUCCCCAGCCCCAGAGCUCCUUGAAGCUCUCCAAGCUGAUGACAUUACCACCACCCCUCCCCGCCCUUCGUUCCCUCAGCCAGCGGCGCUCAGACGGCGGCGGCGAGGGAAGGAGCCAGGGUUGGUUUAUCAGUUUUUAAAGGGUGAGUUACAGAGCUUAGCAUCCAUCCACCGUCGCACUCACUUCUGUCUGCCCAGACCUGCCGGGGAUGCGGGCACCUACAGUCAGGGGUCUUCACCUGUUCGAUCACAUGCAGUUCACACAGCUGCGUUAUAUCUCGGCAGACAGGCCUUGCUAGAGAUGGGGUUUUCUGGAGGCUAUGCACAAUUGGGGCUCCAGAACUUGCAUCCAGGCUGGCCCUACAGCUAAUUUUCCCGUCACAGUGAGGAAGCUGGAAAGCCGCAUAUGGAAGCAGAAUUUAUUAUAGAACUCUCCGGCGGAUACUCAGUACCUCUCUUCAGCACAUAAUAUUCUCUGUACACACCCAUAUAGGAAAGGUUCCAAAACUGAAACCCUACCUAAAGUUCACAACGCCCUAAAAAUACACUACAUAAAAACUAUAGCGCGUGACCCUCUUUCCUAAUUGCCCAAUUCUGCAGGUUUCCUCUUCCCAGCUUCCCAGGUCGGUGGGACCCAGACCCCUUGUUUCCUGGGGAAACUAGAGCUCAAGGAUGAGCACACAGGGACGGAGGGUUGGGGCAGAAGGUGGAAAGCUCCGCGGAUCACGCCAGGACUGUGAAAUCAGGAGGGCGAGUUUCUAAAUUUCUGUCACCAAAGUGAAUAAACAGGAUAGUAUGGUCCUUUGUAGAGGACUGAAACUUAUUUCCCCGGAGUGCAUCCCUUUUAUGAUUAUUGAACGUUCCAUGAUUGUCUUUCCACUUCCACCGGGGUCCUAGGUUCUUAUACAGAGUAGCUCAACUCAUUCCAUGAGAAAACCGCAGCGGUGUUCUCUCCUUCUUCUUAUGGAAACUUAUACUACAGAGCAGUGGACUGAGAUCCAACAAAUCUGAUUUCAGUCUUGGUUCUCUUACUGAACUGUGGUGACCUUGUCGCAGUUUCC